rnacentral:rRNA from 1 species
AGAACGAACGCUGGCGGCAUGCCUAAUACAUGCAAGUCGAACGAACUCUUCGGAGUUAGUGGCGCACGGGUGCGUAACGCGUGGGAAUCUGCCCUUGGGUUCGGAAUAAACAGUUGGAAACGACUGCUAAUACCGGAUGACCCCCCCUGACGAAAGUACCAAAAGAUUUUAUCGCCCAGGGAUGAGCCCCGCGUAGGAUUAGCUAGUUGGUGAGGUAAAGGCUCACCAAGGCGACGAUCCUUAGCUGGUCUGAGAGGAUGAUCAGCCACACUGGGACUGAGACA